AGAUCCUCAGAGCUUUAUAGCCUUUCAGUUGAGAAAUAUGAAACACUGAAAAUCAAAAACAAAUGCUGGAAAUCUUCUUAACUGAACUUCAGAGACAAGUGGCCCGGGGCUAUCCAGUAACCUAAAAGUAUCAUUAGCAUCCCAUGCUCUCUCUGUCUUCCUCUUUUGAUAUUUCUAGCAUGACUCACCCAUGCUCACGUUUUUAUCAUGUCUCAAAGUGGCUGCUGCAGUUCCAGUGACAGAAUUGAUGUGUCAGACAGGAAGAAAAAGGAAAGUAGGAAAGACAAAAUUU
rnacentral:lncRNA from 1 species